rnacentral:rRNA from 1 species
GACGAACGCUGGCGGCGUGCUUAACACAUGCAAGUCGAACGGAAAGGCCCUGCUUUUGUGGGGUGCUCGAGUGGCGAACGGGUGAGUAACACGUGAGUAACCUGCCCUUGACUUUGGGGUAACUUCAGGAAACUGGGGCUAAUACCGGAUAUGAUCUCCUGCUGCAUGGUGGUGGUUGGAAAGUUUCGGCGGUUGGGGAUGGACUCGCGGCUUAUCAGCUUGUUGGUGGGGUAGUGGCUUACCAAGGCUUUGACGGGUAGCCGGCCUGAGAGGGUGACCGGCGACAUUGGGACUGAGAUACGGCCCAGACUCCUACGGGAGGCAGCAGUGGGGAAUAUUGCACAAUGGGCGGAAGCCUGAUGCAGCAACGCCGCGUGCGGGAUGACGGCCUUCGGGUUGUAAACCGCUUUCGCCUGUGACGAAGCGUGAGUGACGGUAAUGGGUAAAGAAGCACCGGCUAACUACGUG